rnacentral:rRNA from 1 species
UACGGGGGGGGCAAGCGUUGUUCGGAAUUACUGGGCGUAAAGGGCUCGUAGGUGGCCAACUAAGUCAGACGUGAAAUCCCUCGGCUUAACCGGGGAACUGCGUCUGAUACUGGAUGGCUUGAGAUUGGGAGAGGGAUGCGGAAUUCCAGGUGUAGCGGUGAAAUGCGUAGAUAUCUGGAGGAACACCGGUGGCGAAGGCGGCAUCCUGGACCAAUUCUGACGCUGAGGGGCGAAAGCCAGGGGAGCAAACGGG